CUUGUACUCCCUCCGUCCGAAAAUACUUGUCAUUGAAAUGGAUGUAUCUAGAUGUAUUUUAGUUCUAGACACAUCCAUUUUGAUAACAAGUAAUUUCGGACGGAGGUAGUACUUG
rfam:Triticum aestivum genome assembly, contig: Triticum_aestivum_CS42_TGACv1_scaffold_197143_3AL